AGAGUUUGAUCAUGGCUCAGGAUGAACCGCUAGCUACAGGCUUAACACGAUGCAACCCCGUGAGGGCAGCAUGGUCUUAGCUUGCUAAGGCCGAUGGCGACCGGCGCACGGGUGAGUAACACGUAUCCCAACCUGCCGUCUACUCUUGGACAGCCUUCUGAAAGGAAGAUUAAUACAAGAUGGCAUCAUGAGUCCGCAUGUUCACAUGAUUAAAGGUAUUCCGGUAGACGAUGGGGAUGCGUUCCAUUAGAUAGUAGGCGGGGUAACGGCCCACCUAGUCUUCGAUGGAUAGGGGUUCUGAGAGGAAGGUCCCCCACAUUGGAACUGAAGACACGGUCCAAACUCCUACGGGAGGCAGCA
rnacentral:rRNA from 1 species